CUUGAGCUGAUUCAUUGGCUUUAAUUCUUCUUCUUCAUGUAGGAAACCUUGCUUGAGUAGGAAACUUCAUUCAUCUAGGAAUCCAUCUUCAAUUAGGACUCCUACAUUGAUUAGGAAUCCUUCUUCAUUUUGGAAUUCUUCGUUUAAGCCCUUUCCUUCUUCAACUAGGAAACUUUGUAUCUUCAAUUCUUCAACUUUGAAACGCCUUCCUAGCUUCAUCAAUUCCUCAAAUUCGUCCAUCCCUUGUGCUUCAUGUGCAUGAACUUCAUUCUAGCCCAAUUUUGCUCCAAAAUGCUCCAAAUUGCAUCCUUUUGCUCACUUUGUCUCUAA
rnacentral:lncRNA from 1 species